AGAGUUUGAUCCUGGCUCAGGAUGAACGCUGGCGGCGUGCCUAAUACAUGCAAGUCGAACGAGGUGCUUUUGUAGCAAUACGAGAGUAUCCUAGUGGCGAACGGGUGAGUAACGCGUUGGUGACCUACCCCAAAGUGUGGAAUAACAGUCCGAAAGGAUUGCUAAUACCGCAUGUGGUUAUCGGGUUUAGAAACUGAUAACUAAAGGAGCAAUUCGCUUUGGGAGGGACCUGCGUCCCAUCAGCUAGUUGGUGAGGUAAUGGCUCACCAAGGCUACGACGGGUAGGGGACCUGAGAGGGUGACCCCCCACAAUGGAACUGAAACACGGUCCAUACACCUACGGGUGGCAGCAGUAGGGAAUAUUGCACAAUGGGCGAAAGCCUGAUGCAGCAACGCCGCGUGCACGAUAAGGUCCUCGGAUCGUAAAGUGCUUUUCUGGGAGAUGAGAAAGGACAGUUCUCAGAUAAUUCG
rnacentral:rRNA from 1 species